rnacentral:rRNA from 1 species
AGAGUUUGAUCCUGGCUCAGAGCGAACGCUGGCGGCAGGCCUAACACAUGCAAGUCGAGCGCCCCGCAAGGGGAGCGGCAGACGGGAGAGUAACACGUGGGAACGUACCCUUUGGUUCGGAACAACCCAGGGAGACUUGGGCUAAUACCGAAUAAGCCCUUACGGGGAAAGAUUUAUCGCCGAAGGAUCGGCCCGCGUCUGAUUAGCUAGUUGGUGAGGUAACGGCUCACCAAGGCGACGAUCAGUAGCUGGUCUGAGAGGAUGAUCAGCCUCACUGGGACUGAGACACGGCCCAGACUCCUACGGGAGGCAGCAGUGGGGAAUAUUGGACAAUGGGCGCAAGCCUGAUCCAGCCAUGCCGCGUGGGUGAUGAAGGCCCUAGGGUUGUAAAGCCCUUUCGGCGGGGAAGAUAAUGACGGUACCCGCAGAAGAAGCCCCGGCUAACUUCGUGCCAGCAGCCGCGGUA